rnacentral:lncRNA from 1 species
CUGGCACUCAAAAGGGGCUCUGCUGUCCUGCCGGACCCUGGCACCUGCUGCAUGUUCUGUCCUUGGGAGCCCUUUGUAACUGGGACCUGUUUUUGCUUCAGACAGAGUGACUUCUGCUGUCCUGUUGUGUGAGUGUUACGGCAGCUCCCUGCUGAAUGUUGGACUCUGAUGGGAGCCUUAAGAUGUACCACAAGUGAAGCAGAUACUGUUAAAGGAAGUUUUGGGGGGAUCUUUCACAUGGAGAAGAUUGAGAGAAAUGAGCAAUCUUUCUCACAAACAUGAUGAGGUAUGACAAAUGCAGAGAUUCCCAAGAGAGGCACUGUCCAUCCUGAAUAUCUUCUAAAAUAUGGGAGUCUGACCCUUCAGAGAUAAUAUGGCAACACACUGGUGAUUAUGCUCUGCGAAUGGAGCUGGAUUAGUGAAGAAUCUCUACAUGGCAAUCAACUCUGGAGAACUUUUCCUCGUGCAGUCAGG